UAUCCGGAUUUAUUGGGCGUAAAGCGUUCUGUAGGCGGUUUUGUAAGUAUAUGGUUAAAGGCUCUGGCUCAACCAGAGACAUGCUGUGUAAACUACAAGACUAGAUGGUUAUCGGGAGUAUCGGAAUUCUUGGUGGAGGGGUGAAAUCCGUUGAUAUCAAGAGGAACACCAAAGGCGAAGGCAGAUAAUUAGGUAAUUCAUGACGCUGAUAGACGACAGCUAGGGGAGCGAAAGGGAUUAGAGACCCCUGUAGUCCUAGCCGUAAACGAUGGACACUAGCUGAUCGGAUUUUUCUGGUCGGCGUAAGCUAACGCGUUAAGUGUCCCGCCUGGGAAGUACGGCCGCAAGGCUAAAACUCAAAGGAAUUGACGGGGGAGCGCACAACCGGUGGAGCAUGUGGUUUAAUUCGAUACAAAGCGAUAGACCUCACCCAGGUUUAAUAUAACUGCAAGUCUAGCGAAAGCUAGAUGUCUUCGAGAGUGUUAUACAGCUGUUGCAUGGCUGUCGUCAGUUCGUGUCGUGAGACGUUUCUUUAAGUAGAAUAACGAACGCAACCCCUAUCGUGUGUUGAAUUUUCACGCGAGACUGCUCUUGAUAGUAUCAAGGGAGGAAGGAGGGGACGAUGUCAAGUCAGCAUGACGCUUACACCUGGGGCCACACACAUCCUACAAUGGGAAGUACAAUGGGUUGCCAACCAGUAAUGGGGAGCCAAUCCCGUAAAACUUCCCUCAGUUCAGAUUGAGGGCUGCAACUCGCCCUCAUGAAGUCGGAAUCGGUAGUAAUCG
rnacentral:rRNA from 1 species